AUUGUCAAACUAAAAUCCGUUGCGUACGAUGCGGGUGCCCUGAUGAUGCGGGAUACUCGCCCUGAUGGAAUACAAUGUUGCCUAAUUUACUGUUCCGUUCCGUCACAAAUCGUCUGUCAUUCAAGUCAUUCUGUCAAAAACAAAUUUGUUUGGUUUUUUUUCAAAAUUGUUCUAUUUUCUAUUUGGUUCUAUUUUUUAGUCAUGAAGUUAAGUAGUAUCGUGGGAUAUUUGAAGUUCUUGGGUUCUGAAAAUUCAAGAAGUUUUAGAAGGAAAACAAGUUUUAAACUCUGGUCAUCUUAUUUUGGCUGGAAAAAUAGAGGAAAGUUCUGAGCAUACCAUCAAAAUAUAUGGUUUAUUCCUUCAUUAAGGUCCAAUCCCUACGAAAUUAAAGGAAACCUAUCUUUCACAAAUGGCAUAAGCAUUAGCCAAAUGUUAUGUUCUUGUAAAGCAGAAAAUAAUGGAAAAUGUAAACAUGUCUCUACUCUUGUUAAAUGUACAUAAGUAUAAGGGAAGAUGUGAAAUUAAUGGAACAUUCAGUACAUGAGUUGAAAAAAAUGUUAACAGAUUGACAAAUGAAGACCAUUUUUAAUUGAUCUAAACAUUUAUAGAAACAAAGUAUAUGGUUAAUAUAAAAUAUUACCUGCCUGAAGUAACUUGGUGUACAAAUCAAUAGUAACCAUAAUUUUUAUUCCCAGGGCCAGUGAGAAACAAUGUGCAUUUCAUUUCUAAGUGUUCCAAGGAAAGAUCUCCUAAGAAUAAAUAGAUCUGUACAAUGAAGAUUAACCUAAUCUGUUUAACCAUCGAAAUUAUUGUAUUGUUAUAAAAAUAAUAAAUCUCCAUUUCAUAUUAUUUACACUUACAUACAUUAGCCUGGAAUUGCAUUGUGUCUACAUUAGUGGCCAUAGUCACAAACCUACCCUAGUCUACGGAGGUACUGUCUUUUGCAGAUGUGGUAAUACCGGGUUUGAUACAUUAUUGCUAAAUAAAGUUUGUGAAUAGUAACUUUUCACAAAAUAGACAGAGUUUUAAUAGUUUUCACUGUACUUAACGACAUUCUACACAUUCGGCAAAGAAUUAAGGAUUUGCAUGAAAUUUUAGUAUGUUAUAGUUUACUUCAAAAAACUAAGACUUGAUUUUUUAAAAAUUGUUUUACUGUGCCGUUUAAUUACUAUUAAGGGUCAAAGUUAAGUUUUAACAUGGGCUCUUAUGGGAAUUCUUAAAAAGUUAAUAACUUUUGACCCAAAUUUACGAUUUUUAAUUAUUUGUGCUUAAGUUAAAGGUUUUUUUUGUAAGGAAUAACAUAUUAAAAAAUGAGGAUUGUUUACCGUACCAUUUAUUUUUAAUUUAUUUAUUAUAAUUUAUUCCAUAAUUUCCGUAAUUUAUUAUAAUUUAUUUUUAUAAAGUAUUCAAUACUAAAACAUAUGAUUUGAGUAUUCUGCUAUAAAUGCAUUGUUACCAACUUUCGCUUGCAUAUAAGUUUCCCCCCUUUCCUCUGAGAGGCAUACCCCACAACAAAGGUGUAGAACGUCGUUAAAUAUUUUUUAAAUUCAGUGGUAAUAACAUAUUAUAUUUUGUUUUGGUAUUUAAAUUUACCUAAAUAUUUAUAGAAAUAUACUAUACUAAAUUCAAGAUGCAGUAGAAAUAAAUAAACCAAGACACGUUAAAUGCUACUAUGAGCACUCCCGAAUCAUAAUUUACAAUGUAUAUACAUUGUAAAUCCCAAAUCAUGAUUUCCAAAGUUUAUACAUUCUAAAUUAUGAUUCGGGAGUGCUCCUAAUAGUAGCAUUUAACUUGUCUUGAUUUGUUUAUUUCUACUGCAUCUUAAUUUUAAAUUUAGUGUAGAUGUGGCCAUCAUAGGACUCUUACUUAUAGAUGCAAUAAAAUUAUUGGUUUAUUUUCAUUUUAAAUGUUAUACUUCCAGUAUUGUAUGUAGUAUAUUAAAUAUUUUUAACAAGUAGUAUAAGGGCAUAUUAUUAUACUUUGUUAUACAAAAUAGACAUAAAAUUUUGAAACUUUCAGCUUCACUUUUUCAUUGUUUCAAUAUUAAAUCCCAAAUUUAGACUCUCCACCAUUUUCUCAUAAAAAAGUAUGUUCAGUUUUUACCCCAGGUAGACCGAAUCCACCAAAAAAUUGAUGUUACUUAAGUUUUUAAGUAUUAAAAAAAUGCGUUUCAUCAGAUAUACAAAAUAAAUGCAACUGAUUAUGUUCAGAUAGUGGUGUCCCUCUUAAUUUUUAUUCCUAAAAACUUUACUAUUAAACCAAAGUUUUAGUUAAAAAAAAAACAAAAUGUUUGCUUUCUGUGUGGAGUUACAAAAAUAAGUUGAAAUGCUAUUUAAUUUCGUAUUAUUUCCUGGUGAUACUCUGCCAUACUAAUUUUACAUUGUUCUUACAUGCAAGCAUUUGUAAAUAAAUUUACCAUUAAAGGGCGGCCCAAGGUAUAUUCAUCUUAAAUGGGUGGUUGUAGUUUUGUAUAUUUUAUUUUUAUUUUAGUUUUGUAAUAUUUUUAAGAACAAAUAAAAUAAUUAUAAUUAUUCUGAA